AAGUAUGAGAAAAUAGUUGUUCUCAUUGAUGAAAGAAAUUUGGGCUUAGUCAUAUUUAAACUAUAACCAUAAAUUGAAGUAACAUUGCAUGCCAGAUCGAACCAGCCACAUGGUUCCAUAUGCAACUUGGUAGUGUGCCAUAACUAAACGUGGUAUGACAUCUCAGUUAUUCUGUACCAGCACCAACAGGCAUACCAUGUUUGGUACAGUACCAUAUUGUACCAGUAAGGUUCCAGUACUGGUGACUGUAGCAGUACAUUAAAUAUUGAGUGGUGCAUUUUGGGUCAGACUGAUACCAAAAGCCAUUUCUGAUCCGACUAAAGGCCAUCACCUGUAGUUAGCCACACCUGUAACCAGCUCCUGUUUUUCGACCAGUAUUGAGAUACUUGUAAUAUCUAGUUCUCCACUCCUGCUCAUACAUUUUUAGUCUUCCUAAGGUGUGAUUCCUGCAAUUUCAUUCUUCUUGCUCUUGGAUAGCAAGUAGCUUCACUCCAAAUUAGAUGAGUUAUUGAAAUGUUCAGCAUGUUGUUUUUCUUUCUUAAACCACUGCAAGACUCAAGCCAAACCUGAAUUCUUAAAAAAACCAUACUUUUUGUGCUUGCUUGCAUUAAGUCAUUGUCUGAAAGUUUCAAUCAUCACCGACUGGCUUCUAAAUUCUGGAGCAUAGUCAAUAAUGUCUUGUUACUUGUGAAAAGUGCAAACAUGGGCAUUGCAUGAUGGAGUGACAAGUUAGGUUUAAUUUGACAUAAACAAGCCCUUCUCCUCACUGAAUCUGUCCCAGCUAAAAACUAUCUUGGUCACCUUGGUCCUUCAUUGGCCAAGCAAAGUUUUGAUUAGCUUUUCAACUCUAAUUGAUUCCUCAAGGAAUUCAUGCAUAUGAAAUCAUAUGAUCCAACAAUAGUGGUUUCAAAGCUUUCUUGUCUCUUGAAAGGAUUCACUUCAGGUUUGCAGAAAAUUGGCCAAACUCAAGGAUAUUCUAUGAGAUACCGCAUAUUGGAUGGUUAAAAAUCAUAUAUAACAGUAAUCCAUCCUAGGAAGGCAUCUCAUUCUUGGUCCAAAAUGGAGAAACUUUAGAAACAUUGCAAAAGCUGUUAUUUUCUUUUUUUUAGUUUCUUCAUAUUCUGCAGCAUCAUGCAUCAGUAUUUUUGAAUCUUGAUGGUGUGAAAAUUGGCUUUUAAGAGGGUUGUAAACAUGGUUUCAGAAACUGCCAGAAUUGGAUGGUACGACCGAUGCCAUACCGUUCCGGCUUGAAACUGGCACUUGUAGAAGCUGAAACCCUGUGGAUUGAUACAAUCCAGCCAUACUAGUCCAUACUGGCUGAUGGAUUUGCAGCAGUAGCAAGAGUUGCAGUUAAAAGUGCCCAUAGAGAGUUGUUGAAAGACAAGAGAGUGUUUCAACUUUUGAAGCAAUGGUUGGGUGUGAACGAGAACUCGCAGCAUUCCAUGUCAAGUUCCAAAGUGAUGGAUGUUUCUAUAGAGCCAAUUCCAACUCAGUUGUCUACGAGGCAUCUCUUAUAGUAGUCGUGAAUGCUCCUUUUGAGUCAAGUGAUGAUGUAACACAGAAAUCUUGCACGAAAGAAGUCAAGAAGCUGAGACGUGCUUUCUUCAGGAUAUCUUUUGGUGCGUGAGUGGUGCCUGCACGAAUGUCUCUCACUAUUCUUAUGAAGGGCAGUGUCAGCUUACAGAGUACUGGUUGGUGAAAACGCAAGUUUUACAGUAGUUCUCACUAUGAAGCUUUGAUUUUCCACAUAUUGAUUGUGGUCAUUGCUUACAUUUGCUGUGCUGAAAUGUUCGUUAUACAAUACCUAUCAACAUUUCAUUCUUGUUGGGCAGUACAACAUCCUAAUAAAGGCCAUUGUGCUGCGCGUAAUAAAUCUGGAGUUAAAACCUCCUUAUUUGUGUUGGUA